rnacentral:rRNA from 1 species
AGCGAACGCUGGCGGCAGGCUUAACACAUGCAAGUCGAACGGGCGUAGCAAUACGUCAGUGGCAGACGGGUGAGUAACGCGUGGGAACGUACCUUUUGGUUCGGAACAACACAGGGAAACUUGUGCUAAUACCGGAUAAGCCCUUACGGGGAAAGAUUUAUCGCCAAAAGAUCGGCCCGCGUCUGAUUAGCUAGUUGGUGAGGUAACGGCUCACCAAGGCGACGAUCAGUAGCUGGUCNGAGAGGAUGAUCAGCCACAUUGGGACUGAGACACGGCCCAAACUCCUACGGGAGGCAGCAGUGGGGAAUAUUGGACAAUGGGCGAAAGCCUGAUCCAGCCAUGCCGCGUGAGUGAUGAAGGCCCUAGGGUUGUAAAGCUCUUUUGUGCGGGAAGAUAAUGACGGUACCGCAAGAAUAAGCCCCGCUAACUUCGUGCCAGCCGCCGCUGU